UAGGGAAUAUUGGACAAUGGGGGCAACCCUGAUCCAGCCAUGCCGCGUGAGUGAAGAAGGCCCUCGGGUUGUAAAGCUCUUUUGUCCGGAAAGAAAAGCAUUCGGUGAAUACCCGGAUGUUCUGACGGUACCGGAAGAAUAAGCACCGGCUAACUUCGUGCCAGCAGCCGCGGUAAUACGAAGGGUGCAAGCGUUACUCGGAAUUACUGGGCGUAAAGCGUGCGUAGGUGGUUGUUUAAGUCUGAUGUGAAAGCCCUGGGCUCAACCUGGGAAUGGCAUUGGAAACUGGGCAGCUAGAGUGCGGUAGAGGGUAGUGGAAUUCCCGGUGUAGCAGUGAAAUGCGAAGAGAUCGGGAGGAACAUCUGUGGCGAAGGCGACUGCCUGGACCAGCACUGACACUGAGGCACGAAAGCGUGGGGAGCAAACA
rnacentral:rRNA from 1 species